GCUGCUUAUCAACGUUUGAAAAAGAGAGUUCUGCCGGGCACGGUGGUGCGUGAGAAUCUCAGGAGUCCAGGAGUUCUGGGCUGUAGUGCGCUAUGCUGAUCGGGUGUCCACACUAAGUUCAGCAUCCAUAUGGUGACCUCCUAGGAGCAGGGGACCACCAGGUUGCCUAAGGAGGGGUGAACCGACCCAGGUCGGAAACGGAGUGGGGCAAAACUCCCUGGCUGAUCGGUAGUGGGAUCGCACCUGUGAAUAGCCACUACACUCCAGCCUGGGCAACAUAGCGAGACCCAGUCUCUU
ensembl:misc_RNA Metazoa_SRP Metazoan signal recognition particle RNA